UAACACAACUCUAAAUUUCAAAUGCCAUUUUCAUUUGAAAUUAUUUUUUACCAUUUUUUUGAAUUUUAUAAUUUGUAUGUCCAAACGCCUGUUUAGUCCUUGGGAUGAGAUCAUCACUCUAAUUCACAUAGAGAGAAACACCCUUCUUAUAUAAAGAGUUUAUAGUAAAGAAUGAAAAUAAUCAGACGAUAAAAAGGAUAGACCCAUCUACAUGACCAUAAAGAUCAUGACUAUGUAUAAACAUGACAAAUAACGCCUUUCAAAUUGUGAUGUUUUGGCUGCCAUGUAAUUUUAUUGGCAAUUAUAACACGAGAUUAAAUUGGACGACCAUCGCACCAAUAUUGUUAUUAGCAUUAACAACUUUAGUAGUGUUGGCCAUUUGUGGAGAGGGGUAGAAGAAAAAAAAAGAUAGGAUCUUACUCAUUAGAGUUUGUUGAGGCGCUGAUACCAUAUAAGAACAAGAAUAAAGCACAAAAUUAAUUUGUUUAUUGAGUCAAUGCAACCUUUAAAUACAAGAGUGAAAAAUCAAUUCCCUAAACUAAUUUCUCCGAAGGAGGAGGACCACACUACUUGCUGAACAAACUCCUUGAAUGAGGAGAUUUAUUUGGAGAAGUUGGUUUCUGCUGCACCGGUCCCGGUCUGGCGAAGAGAACCUCGCUUCGCUGUCCGAGACUUUUCUGGUUUCUUUUGCUCCGGUCCGGGACUGGUGAAGUGAACCUCGCUUCGAUGUCCGAGACUUUUCUUUUUAGAUCCUUUUUCACUAAUUUUUCUCCUAUUUGAUCCUUUUCUGCAUAAGUUUGCUCCUACACAUAAGAAACACGUAAUGAGUAUAUUUUCACUUCAAAAGCGAUGUUAACUCCCACAACUCACACAAGAAAUAACAUAUAGACACACUCAAAACAUGCACUUUUCAUCCUUUAUCAAUAACUACAUUCCUAAAUUGAAAAGUUUGAAUAAUGUUAUCCCUAUUCAACUUUCUCUCUCUCUAUCUUUUUUUUUUUUGCGGAAUCAAUCUAAUUAGUUAAGGAAAAUUUCUAAGCAAAGUGGCUGUCUAGCUAUGUCCAGUUCUUAAAUUGUUGCUUUGAAUUCUUUGUGUUGUUAAGAUUUCUAAUGAUUAGUAGUAAGUACAGAGUAAGUGGCUGAUGGCUGCAGUUUUCGGUAUUAUCUUCCUUUGGAGGCAUGAUAUGGAAGCACUAUGGGCUACUUCAGGUGGAAUUAUCAAUAUUUGUCUCUCAAUUGUACUGAAGAGGAUACUUAACCACGAACGCCCUGUUUCAACAUUAAGAUAGGAAUGCCUUCUUCACGUGCCCAGUACAUCUUCUACACACUCACAUUCUGUAUACUCUCAAUCGUGGCUACGGGUUUCACAACAACUUCACACAUUAAACCAAGUAGUAGUGGGUGCUGAAAUAAGAUUCUGUUUUUCCAUUUUCUGGCUCUGGUUGUGGAAUGCCGUAGUCAUGAAGCCAAUUGUAGCCCACUUUUGGGUUCGGUUUGUAGCUGUUCUUGGGGCUACUGUUUUUUGUGUUGCUUUUCUCCUAUACAUUAUUCAAAAUUGGAGUUUUGAUGAUAA